UCUCCGUAGGUGAACCUGCGGAGGGAUCAUUACAGAGUUCAUGCCCUACCGGGUAGAUCUCCCACCCUAUGUUAUUAUUACUUUGUUGCUUUGGCGGGCCGUUAGGCUCCGGCCCGACUACCGGCCCCGGCUGGUAAGCGCCCGCCAGAGGACCCAAAACCCUGAAUAUUAGUGUCGUCUGAGUACUAUAAAAUAGUUAAAACUUUCAACAACGGAUCUCUUGGUUCUG
rnacentral:misc_RNA from 1 species